AACGAACGCUGGCGGCGGGGUUUAGGCAUGCAAGUCGCGCGAGAAAGGGGCAACCCGAGUACAGCGGCGCAAGGGUGAGUAAGAGUUCGUCAACGUACCUUCUUGACGCGGAUAAUUCCUCGAAAGGGGUUGUAAUACGCGAUGAGACCACGCGCCUUCCGGGGCGAGAGGUCAAAGGUCGGGGAUCCUUCGGGACCUGGCGCAGGGAGAGCGGACGAACGCCGAUUAGCUUGAUGGCGGGGUAACGGCCCACCAUGGCGAUGAUCGGUAGCCGGCCUGAGAGGGUGUCCGGCCACACUGGGACUGAGACACUGCCCAGACUCCUACGGGAGGCUGCAGUCGCGAAUCAUUCACAAUGGGCGCAAGCCUGAUGAUGCCACGCCGCGUGCGGGAUGAAGGCCCUCUGGGUUGUAAACCGCUGUCAAGGGGAGGGGAACCGCGCCGCAUGAACAGUGCGGCGUCUGACUGCUCU
rnacentral:rRNA from 1 species